rnacentral:lncRNA from 1 species
AUAGAAAUAAGUUUUUAAAUAAAAAAAUAAAAUAAAAUGAAGAUUGAAAGAAAAUAAACAUAGUGUUACAUCUAUCUGAUGAACAAUUUUUAAACAAUAGCAAAAAAUAAUUAUUAUAGAAAUAAGUUUUUAAAUAAAAAAAUAAAAUAAAAUGAAGAUUGAAAGAAAAUAAACAUAGUGUUACAUCUAUCUGAUGAUUUAUAUGAACUUAAACAUCAAGUCGGUGGGAA